GGGUUGUGUUUACCGAAGUGACUAGGUCACCUUCAUGUCAAAGUAAAACAUGAGAUUCAUAUAGAUGCAUAUUAUUAUGUAUGCUAAUUGAUAGUGCAUGAUGAUGCAUUGAAGUGCAUGCUAGUUGAUAAUGAAAAAUUGAUAUGUUGAAGUAUGUGCUAGAUGAUAUUGCAUAUGAACACAUGAUGACAUGAUAUAGAGAACAUGAACAUACAAAUGAAUGUUAACGCUUUGUUAAUCAUGUGAGUUAUGAGAUCAUGUUGGAUAAUGCUUAGUGACAUAAUGAGAAAUUGUUAAUUAUACAUACACGUUAGCAUUAUGUAAAUGUAUGCUAGUUGGUAGAACACAUACUAGUGAUAAUUGCAUAAUAAUGCAUUGGAAAGUACAUGCUAGAAACUAGAUGCAAGCGAGAUAUAUAUGUGCAUUGGAAUGUAUGCUAGGUGCAUGUAGCAUUAUGUGAGCCGGUUGGAUAAAAUGCAUAAGUGCAUCAUGUGAAUACAUGUUAAAUGGUAUGGCAUAUUAACACUAUGAAAAAUAUAUGCUAGAGGAAAAUGUUUAGUGACGUACUAAGAAUAUGUAGCUAUAACUCGAUGUGGACAAUUAGGUGUCAACUAGAUCGAGUGGCAUUAACUUAGUGUAUUAAACAUAGGUCAAAUGUGAACCUAGGGUCGAGAACCUAGGAGGAGCAAGAAUGGCAUUUAACCUAGUGUCGUGAACCUAGGCUAGAUCGAGUGGCAUUAACCUAGUGUCAUGAACAUAGGUUGACAUUGAUCCUAGUGUUGUUGAACCUAGAGUUAAUAAAAAUCUAGGUAGAGAGGUAUUAACCUAGUUUAAAGAACAUAGGUUAUGUGAUGAGGGCGUUAAACCUAGAGUCGGGUAGACCUAGGAUAGAAAGUGCAUUGGACCUAGAUAGGUCGAUAUCAUAGGGUUUGAGAUUACCCUAGAGACUUGGAAAGUCGAUUCCGGAAUCUUAGGAUUGUGAACUCGAUAGUUCUAAAGCCGUGGGGGCAGUUGGCAAUGUUCUCCUCCCACUGGAUGAACUUCGAGAAUGAGCAUCAGGCUGAUUCGAGGCCGCGGGUCGAGUGCGGCAGGGUUCCCCCUCCCGUCGGCAGAAUCGUGCUUCGCUAGGGUUGAGUGUGGCAGGUCCCCUUCCCUAUCGGGGGUCUUGGGCCGCGGGUUGAGUAUGUGGCAUAAUCCCCUUCCCACCGGAAAGAUCCCUGACCACGGGUGUACGCAGCUCUGGGCGACCCGUUGGGCGAUGAGUGUAUGGAUUGGAGGCUGAGGUCCGAGUGAGGAUUCCUCCACCUCGAGCCGGACAGAGCGCGGACUAUCCGCAGUUGAUUGACUCGAGGCCGAGUCGGGUGGCUAGUGGUAAUGUGAUGGAUCUAAGGUAAUAGAAACCUAAGAGGUUAGUUGGAUCUGAGCGAGAUAGCAAGAUAGAAGUAGAAUCAAGUGAUUUACUUAUGAUAGUUGCAUAAUUGCAUUGUUGCAUAUAGCAUGGCAUUGUUGUAAUUCUGAGGCAAAGCAUGGUUUCAUUAAUUGCAUAAUCAAUAUAUAUAUAUAUCUAUCUGUUUAUUGAGCUAACCUGCAGUUGCCUCCUUUGAACCUGAUGGCCGAGCUUUUCCCUUGGGUGGCCGUACCCACUGGGAACCAUAGAGUUGGUUCUCACCUCUCGUUGUUUUGGGGUGUUUACAGGUUCGCACGUGAGCGGCGCGGCGGCGCGAGGAAAGGGCGUAGCUCCGUAGAUAUUGCCCUACCCCAGAGAUCGGAGCUAGAAGUACUCCGUCGACAUCGCUUAGGGGUUAAGAGAAUGAAAAGAACAUAAUGUAUCAAAUUUGUAAUAAGUAAAUGUUGUAAUAACUUAGAUUGCAUUUGGAUGAAUAGAACGGUGGUUGAGAUGUAAAAUGCAUGUGAAUGAAUGUAAUAACAUAAGAUGUGUUUAUGUUGUUUGAUACCUUCCUUAUGCAAUCUUGAUUGAAAUGUGUUCCUGUUUGAAACUUCGUACAUUGUAUUGAUUGUGAUGCCUUGAACGUACAGGGGAGACUCUAUCCGCAGUAUAGAAAAAACCUUGUCCGUUCGGCGGUCUGUAGGCGUGCCCGAACCUGACCAAACAGGCGGGGCUCGGGGGCGUGACAGAUAAGAUAGUAUCAGAGCAUAAAGUAGAGAAUGGAAAAAUAGUUUAGAUGACCUAGGAGACCCUAGGAUAGAGAAACCAUAGAGGCUAAGGCUCGUGAGAGACGAGGAUUUGAGACGUGUGGCGAAAGGAUUAUGGAUUGGGUUGUGUUAUUAACCUCUAAGACGGAUAUUAGAGGUAGACUUGAGGUAUGCUCUAUUCUCAACCAAGGGAGUUCAUGUUGGCGCGUGACAACAUGAAACCGAGCGAUGAGAAUAGACACCCUCGCAUGACUUUCGCCUGAUUGACUUUUGAGUUGUGUUAAUGGUUUCGUGUUUGACCCUGAGGGUCGAGAGCUAAUCGAGUUGUUCUGUUUCAGGAAGCGAUGGCACCGCGCAGGCGAUCUUCAUCCAGAUCGGCGUGAGGCGGGACAAGUGAUGUCCCUGAGCAAGUCGAGGCGAGCGGAGACCCGAUGCUCUGCGAGCAGCUGAAUACGCUCAUGGGCGUAGUGCAGCGCCAGGAGGAGCAGAUCAAGGAGCUCCAUGAGUUGUUGGCACGAUAGGCUGCGGCGGCUGCGCCGGUAGCAGUGCGCCGUGUACCGUCAGGAGCAACGGUAGAUUCGGGGGCUGUGGCCCCUGGUUCUAUGGAGAUGGAGGCGGAACGGAAACGAGCUGUGGCAGUGCUCAUGGCUUUCAAGAAAUUUAAGCCGCCUACCUUUGACGGAGAGUCGGUGGAUCCGUAGAUCGUGGAGAUGUGGAUUGACUCCAUGGAGACUCUCUUUGAGAGCUUGUAUACCUUGGAACGAAACAAGGUGAACCUAACCGCACAUUGCUUAGAGAAGUCGGCGAAGGUGUGGUGGAAAGGCGUCAAACGGGAUUGAACGCCUAGUCUCCCUCCUAUGACUUGGGAUGAGUUUCGGGGAUUGGUAUUCUCUGCAUAUUUUCCCGACAGUGAGAAAAGAAGGCUUCAAGAGAGAUUUAGGAAGCUGCGCCAGGGAGACCGUACUGUGAGGGAAUAUGAACAGAAAUUCACUCGUAUUGUGAAUUGUGUUCCAUAUGUGGUGCAGGAUGACAAGGACAAGGCGGAUUGCUUUGUACGGGGACUUCGGCCGGAAGUGUUCCAUUAUGUGCAUCCAUUCAAGUUGCAGACAUUUGCCGAGGUCGUGGACCGAGCCUUGUGGGUAGAGCAAGGCGAUGACUCCAUGCGAGAGGAGCGCGAGUUUGAUGAGCAAGAAGCUAAAGCAGUGCGACUGAGAGACCUUUCAGGUGGUCAAUCAAGUUCCAGGUGACCCUGAAUCAGUCACAGUCUCGAACCCUGAAGUUGUCUCCUAGCCGGUCUUCUUCGGGAUGUGUGAUUUGUGGUGGAUCCCAUAGGGCGCGGCGGUGUGCACUACGAGAGGGAAGAUGUUUUUAUUGUGGGCAAGCAGGCCACACGAAGUUUGAUUGUCCCAUGGACGAUGGACAACCCUCGCCGAUAGCGACGGCAUUCCCCUCAUCGGGACAACCCGUGGAUGUGCAACCUUUGGCACGAUCUGGAGAGCGAGGUGUGAGGAUUGGGCAGCCGGAGGGCGCACGGCGAGUGCCAAGUAGCCAGACAUACGCGACCCAAGUUGAGGAACCUGCUGCUGCUGGGGAUAUCAUCGCAGGUAUGAUUUAAUUGCGGCAAUUAUACACUUCUGCAUGAUAUAGAAUUGAAGCAUUGCAUGCAUUUACUUCAUAAUUGUCUACUACUACUUAUGCAUAAAUAUAGUAGAGACUGGGACAGGGGUUAGUGUAGCUACCCUAGCAUGCAUGAGUCGUGAUAGUGCGUCGCCUACCUAAAUGGAUAGGUGAUUGGUUAGUUGCCGAGCACGGGCACGUGGACCUAGUGGCACCUCUAAACGAGGUGGGUAAGUCGUGCUCGUGUAGUCGGUGUGCAUAGGCAGGGUUGCCUAAUGCUGAGCUUAGUAUACGGCAUGUAGAGCGCUUGAGCGUGGGUACUAAUAGAGUACGAUUGUGACCCAACCCAGGAAUCUGUAAUGGUUUGGGAUCUUAGUUACUCCUGGUUGGAGUGUGUGCGAGUUCCCAAGUGAGAAUUUCGCCCGAUAGUAAUUGGGUCUACGAUAGUGAGCGAGACACACUAUGCGUUGUUCAGACAGGUGUAGGCGAUAGACCUAUGUAGGAUUGGUGGUCCUUGGUCCACCUAUGAAAACCGAUGAUCGAUGCGGCCGGCAACUCUUGUUAGUGAGUUGGGCUUGGAUUCACGAAUGGAGGAUUCGUGUGUUGUGAACGUGGCUUAUAGUAUCAAAGGAUAGAGGAAGGUAAAGUGGUCUCUAGGAGACACUUGAGUAAUGAAUAGCCGUGUUAGGAUUGGAGUUGAUGCUCCCCAAUGAAUUGGAGGUCGAGGAUAAUGCUCUUUUGUGGAUUGAGUUGGAGAUGUGCCGGAGUGGGCCAUCUCGUGAUAGAGCAAAGAUCUAGUUGAGAGUUGGAGCACUCGCGAUUGGUCGAGGCACCUAUGGAUUGCUUUUAAGCAAUGUCGGUGAUCGAAUUGGGAGGCAUUCCCUGAAUGGAAGGCCAGUGCAAAGAAGAGUUCUUUGCGUACCGAAUGGCGAGUGGUGUUGGAGCGCGUAAAGUCGUUGAGUACCGACUUGUGCAGCCACUAUGACUUGCAAGACCGUGAUGCACUCCUGCAUCACACUUUGCAAAUGAGUUUAAUAUUAAACCCGUGUCCUUUAGAAUGAGCCGCUUCUAGAAAUACGAUGGUGUGGAGCCGUUCUGGAGUGGAAGAAUGAGUUGGUACCCUCAAUUGCUCGUGAAGCUGAAUUGAGGUGUGGUUUGAAUUUCGCGGACGAAAUUCUUUUUAAGGGGUGGAGAAUGUAACAUACCAGAUUUUAGUAUAAAAAUAAAAAUAAAUAAAAAUAGUGUGAGAAGCUAUUUUUAUUGGAUUUAGAGAAGUAAAAUAUAAGUCAGAAAUGACUUGUGCUGAAAUCGGAAUGAAAACAGAAGAUUUAGAAUUUUCUGUUGGAAACGGGACCGAUAAAUUAGCAGAAAAUGCACAGUCUCAGAAAAUUAUGAAAAUUGGAGGAUAAGUCAGAAAUGUUUUUAUGAAGCUAGAUUUAAGGUUUCAUAUUUUUCUGACACCUGUAGAGUGAGAAAUAAAAUCCGACAGUUAUCUGAUAAAGAUUAUAGUUUGGUACAGUUUUCAGUGACCAAACGGGGUCAAAACUGAAAACUUAAGAUAUAUUCUUACUCAGUACGUUAAACCGAGCCUGCCUGUCAAAUUUGAGCUCAAACGGACAUUCAGAAGGGCUCCAACUGUUCCGAUCUGCUAAACUGCCUAGAGUGAAUAGUGUAAUUGUUGGGGGGCUAUAUUGUAAAAGAGCAUUGCUCUUCUUCCACCCUCAGCUGUGCAACCCCCACACACCCGCACGCCACACACGCACACACGCAAGGAGAGGAGAAAGAGAACCCUCCCUUAUCUCUCUCUAAAUUCUCUCCCAAAAGAGAGGGUUUUGGUGGAGAAGGAAGCUUGGAGGAAAGUCAUUUUCUUCAUCUUCCUCUUUAGCCAUUGGAGAGCAAGCUUUAAAGGCAAGCUUCAAAACCCUUUAAUGGCAUUUCUCUCUAGUUUGGUUUUUAAGCUCUAAGAAUGGGUUUAGAGGUAUUCUAGCAUGUUAAUUAGAGGUUUGAUGCUUGAAACCAAGACUCUAAUGGUGGGUUUUUUCCUAGAAGUAAACCUAAGGUUCGAAAUGCAAUUUUUGGAAAUAUGAUGGUUUGAUCUAAAUUGAACCUAUAUAAACCUAAUUGCUAGGUAACGAAUGCGCCGGCGAAGUCGGUUCGGCGAUUCGUCGAGCCGGUGCGAAGUUAUUAAAGAAACGGACGUUUAGGCUUCAUUUCCGCCUGGAGGGCCGAGGCGACAUCGUAAACUCAUGAAACGGAUUUGAAGCAUCGUGGCACAUAACCGAAGACCUUUAAUUUUCGGAUCGUGAAUUGGAGGCCGUUUGGGUGGUCGCGCGUGAGAUCGGGCCAAACCGAGUGCUGGGUGCUGCGGGCGGCCCGAUUGCAAGUGUCGACAAGCAAUCGGAAAGCAUUUUGAGGUGGGUUGUGUUUACCGAAGUGACUAGGUCACCUUCAUGUCAAAGUGAAACAUGAGAUUCAUAUAGAUGCAUAUUAUUAUGUAUGCUAAUUGAUAGUGCAUGAUGAUGCAUUGAAGUGCAUGCUAGUUGAUAAUGAAAAAUUGAUAUGUUGAAGUAUGUGCUAGAUGAUAUUGCAUAUGAACACAUGAUGACAUGAUAUAGAGAACAUGAACAUACAAAUGAAUGUUAACGCUUUGUUAAUCAUGUGAGUUAUGAGAUCAUGUUGGAUAAUGCUUAGUGACAUAAUGAGAAAUUGUUAAUUAUACAUACACGUUAGCAUUAUGUAAAUGUAUGCUAGUUGGUAGAACACAUACUAGUGAUAAUUGCAUAAUAAUGCAUUGGAAAGUACAUGCUAGAAACUAGAUGCAAGCGAGAUAUAUAUGUGCAUUGGAAUGUAUGCUAGGUGCAUGUAGCAUUAUGUGAGCCGGUUGGAUAAAAUGCAUAAGUGCAUCAUGUGAAUACAUGUUAAAUGGUAUGGCAUAUUAACACUAUGAAAAAUAUAUGCUAGAGGAAAAUGUUUAGUGACGUACUAAGAAUAUGUAGCUAUAACUCGAUGUGGACAAUUAGGUGUCAACUAGAUCGAGUGGCAUUAACUUAGUGUAUUAAACAUAGGUCAAAUGUGAACCUAGGGUCGAGAACCUAGGAGGAGCAAGAAUGGCAUUUAACCUAGUGUCGUGAACCUAGGCUAGAUCGAGUGGCAUUAACCUAGUGUCAUGAACAUAGGUUGACAUUGAUCCUAGUGUUGUUGAAGCUAG
rnacentral:lncRNA from 1 species